rnacentral:rRNA from 1 species
UGAGGGAAUAUUGGUCAAUGGGCGGGGAGCCUGAACCAGCCAAGCCGCGUGAGGGAUGAAGGCCCUAUGGGUCGUAAACCUCUUUUGUCAGGGAACAAAAGCGAGUAUGUAUACUAGUCUGAGUGUACCUGAAGAAAAAGCAUCGGCUAACUCCGUGCCAGCAGCCGCGGUAAUACGGAGGAUGCGAGCGUUAUCCGGAUUUAUUGGGUUUAAAGGGUGCGUAGGCGGCGGUGCAAGUCAGCGGUAAAAGCCCGGGGCUCAACCCCGGCGAGCCGUUGAAACUGCAGUGCUAGAGAAGGCGAGAGGUACGCGGAAUGCGCAGUGUAGCGGUGAAAUGCUUAGAUAUUGCGCAGAACUCCGAUUGCGAAGGCAGCGUACUGGCGCCUGACUGACGCUGAGGCACGAAAGCGUGGGGAUCGAACAGGAUUAGAUACC